GAGCUCUUAAUCCUAAUCUCCCUUAUCAAUCGCAAAGGUCAAAUCACAGGUUACACUCUGUGUUUGUUUCCAUCCUCUGGGUCUCAGUUUUCAUUUCACUGGCUUGCUUUUGCUCCUAGGGAUUCUGUGAAGCUCUUAUCUGUGUCAGAUGCUGUACAAACAAAGGAAUCAAUUCCUUUUCCAAAGACCUGACAUCCAGCUUGAAGAUGGCAGUGAACUGCAAGCAUGGCUAGAACUCUGUGGUGUUUAAUUGUUAGGUUUCAAUCCAAGAUUUUUGAAGAAGAGAAUUAAUGUAUGGAGGAUAACAACUAGUUGUCUAAUUCCAUUAUUUAAUAUUUGCUUAUUUCUCCCUUUCUUUCUUUCUUUCUUGCUUGCUUGCUUUCUUCCUCUCUCUCUCUCUCUCUCUCUCUCUCUUUCUCUCUUCUUUUUAUAGUGUGUUUGUGUCCAUUCUCUGGAAGAAGCCCAGUGUUUAGCCAGCUGCUUUGUAUUAUUCAGGUGGAAGAAGGAACAAAGUCAUUUUGGUCUGGAAUACAGUGGGAGCUCCAGGAGCAGGAAAGAAGGGACAGCACACUGCUUCAGUCUCAGUCAUGACAUCCCUGAGAGGCAGUGCUUAUGAGGAGCAGGAAUGUGAAGGGACAGUUUGAAUAUUUGAUAGCACACUCCAAGUUUUCAGAGGCUGUAAGUGAUGGGCAACCCAGAGGAUUAUGUCAGGACACGGUCAUUUUAGGAUAUCCCCACAAGCUAUUGAAACAUUUCCCUCUUUUGGCAUUCAUGAUCUUGAUUUAUAAUCCUUAAUUUGUGUGGUCAGGAUGGUGCUGCUGGCAGAGUAACAGUCCUUACCACUCCUAAGCGUGCUGGGGCUGGUGCUUGUGCCUCAGCAGGGCACUUACUCUGUGGUCCCUAUGCCUCCCUUAGCCAGCUCCCUAUUCAUUACUUACUUCAGGAGGGUGUGA
rnacentral:lncRNA from 1 species